CCUACGGGAGGCAGCAGUAGGGAAUCUUUCACAAUGGGCGAAAGCCUGAUGGAGCAACGCCGCGUGCAGGAUGAAGGCCUUCGGGUUGUAAACUGCUUUUAUAAGCGAGAAAUAUGAUGGUAACUUAUGAAUAAGGAUCGGCUAACUACGUGCCAGCAGCCGCGGUCAUACGUAGGAUCCGAGCAUUAUCCGGAGUGUCUGGGUGUAAAGAGUUGCGUAGGUGGCAUAAUAAGUAGCUAGUGAAAUCGGGUGGCUCAACCAUUCAGACUAUUAGCUAAACUGUUAAGCUCGAGACCGUUAGGGGUAACUGGAAUUGCUAGUGUAGGAGUGAAAUCCGUAGAUAUUAGAAGGAACACCAAUAGCGUAGGCAGGUUACUGGAACGGUUCUGACACUAAGGCACGAAGGCGUAGGGAGCAAACGGGAUUAGAUACCCCUGUAGUC
rnacentral:rRNA from 1 species